rnacentral:rRNA from 1 species
GACGAACCGUGCGAACGUUAUUCGGAAUCACUGGGCUUAAAGGGCGCGUAGGCGGGCUCGCUAGUCAGGGUGAAAGCCUCCAGCUCAACUGGAGAAGUGCCUUUGAUACUGCGAGUCUCGAGGGAGGUAGGGGCGUGCGGAACUUCCGGUGGAGCGGUGAAAUGCGUAGAUAUCGGAAGGAACACCGGUGGCGAAAGCGGCGCGCUGGACCUCUUCUGACGCUGAGGCGCGAAAGCCAGGGGAGCAAACGGG